GGGUUGAAGCAGAUGAAAUUAAGAGCAAUGAAACCCAGAAUCCUCAUAAACCAUCAACUAGUAAGGUGUCAACAGAUGCUUCUGCUGACACUGACUGGGAUAAUGGCAUUGAAGAUGCUUAUAUUUUAGAAGCUACUGAAGAUGUCGAAUUAGCUGAAGCUGCAGAGAACAGUCUUCUCAGUUAUAACAGUGAAAUGGAUGAAAUUCCUGAUAAACUAAUCACGGAAGUACUAUA
rnacentral:lncRNA from 1 species